rnacentral:rRNA from 1 species
UAGUCCACGCCCUAAACGAUGCUGACUCGAUAUUUGGACUUUACGUUUGGGUGGCGCAGCUAACGCAUUAAGUUAUCCGCCUGGGGAGUACGGUCGCAAGAUUAAAACUCAAAGGAAUUGACGGGGGCCUGCACAAGCGGUGGAGCAUGUGGUUUAAUUCGAUGAUACGCGAGGAACCUUACCCAGGCUCUAAUGCUAUGCGCUAUGUGGUGAAAGCCGCAGUUCUUCGGACGCAUAGCAAGGUGCUGCAUGGUUGUCGUCAGCUCGUGCCGUGAGGUGUUGGGUUAAGUCCCGCAACGAGCGCAACCCUCAUCCUUAGUUGCCAGCAUUUAGUUGGGCACUCUAAGGAAACUGCCGGUGAUAAGCCGGAGGAAGGUGGGGAUGACGUCAAGUCCUCAUGGCCCUUACAAGCUGGGCUACACACGUGCUACAAUGGCGAUGACAGUGAGCAGCUAACCCGCGAGGGCAAGCUAAUCUCUAAAAGUCGUCUCAGUUC